rnacentral:lncRNA from 1 species
AUAUUCAGGAAUUUCUUACACGGCCAUCCCCCUCCCCACCCACCCCACCCCCGCUCUUUGGCCCUGCGCUUAAAAUCUGAGUAGUAAGACUUUUUUCUCCUCAAGAACAUCUUUGAAGAUUUAAACCAAGUAAUGAAAAAAAAAAAAAAAAAAGUCCAGGCCUGAAGAACCUAGAUGCAGAGUCAGCCCCUGGCCUGCUGAGUCUUGGGGGGGGGGGGGGAGUUGGGGGGAGUUGACCUCAGAAGUCUCCCUGGUUGUACGUUGCCAAGCUUUUUGUAAAAGGAGGAUUAAAAUUCAGAUAGGAAACAUUUUUAACAUUGGUGAAUUGAUGGUAAAUGUGCUUAGAGGUUCGUUUUGUCCCCUUUUUCCCUUUUUAUCUAGAGUCCCUGACCACAGGAGUUCAGUCUGCUUUCUCCCCGUACAGUGCUUUCUGCCCUCUCUGAGCAGCGCUGUGCUUGCCACAGGCGCAGCCCUUAUUGAAUGAGCCUCAGAGGUACAGGUGGACCCAGCCUGCAGUUAGUCAGUCAGGCUUGGUUUGACUCUGUGUGCCUCUGUCUUGAUCGCUUGGCUUUGCCUGAGCCCUUUACGUGGGUUUAGCUAGAAUUUCCAUAGCCACUGUGGUUAUAACUCCCAUGGCAAGCUGUUUCCUGCUCCUCUCUCCCAUCCGAACCCAUUGCUCCUCCGUGUUCCUCCAAGGUUUCCCUCCAUCACAUUGCACGGCUCAGGUCUGUUCUGCUGUCGCUGAAUUCUGCAAUGAAGUGCAAGAGUUUCUUUAAACGCAAGGAACAGACUGUAGCUUCAUGCUGGCCAAACAAACACACAGGAGGGAAAGCCUGUGUUGGGAACAAGAUUUUAAAAGGGGGUGGGGCCAAAGAACUGAUUGGCACUGCUUUUUCCUUUGGUUUAAUCCACCCCUUUCCCAUGUGAUGAGCUGAAACUUAAAACAGGAAAUGAACUCACUGGAGGCACCAGGUACUGGGUGUUAACACAAAGGCCUGGCAUUCAGGCCAAAAUUAGCAUGCCUCUUAAUAUCAUUUUUUUUUUUUUUUUUUUUUUUUUUACGAAAGAGGUACUAAUGAAAAGCAUUUAAAAAAAAAUUCCAUAAUGAUUCAGAUGUGGAGUCAGCUUAAAUCAAAGAUCCACGUGGUCUGGUUGCCACCAAUUGGACAGAAAGCUGUGUGGUUCUCCCUUUUAGUAGCCUAGAUACAUACUUCCGAGUAUGUCUCCUGGGAGCAGAGUUGAAAGUGUGGGUUUAUGUUAACCGGCUGUGGCAGGGACAAGGAAAGGGGUAGGUCUGUUGGAAAAAGGUCUUCAUGAAGUGAAGAGCGUAGCACUCUCAGAAACCUCUCACCCAGAGACGUGUUGCUCUCCAAGAAAACAAUGGAAUGCCCGACCAGAAAGAAGCUAGGGAAGCGCUUAAAACUCUCAGAGAGAGAGAGAGAGAGAGAGAGAGAGAGAGAGAGAGAGAGCUCUCCACACAGCCUUGGCUUUGCUUGGUUCUCCAUUGAGGUUUUCUUGGGUGACUCUGUUGAGCCCAUGAUGGCCACUGGGCACAGCCCGGAAGGGGGCUCCCCUGCAUGUUUGUGGCUCUGGUAUUAGAUGGCAGCUUCGCAUGCAAGGCAGCACCUGUCCUUCUUCCUAAGGACUCUGGGCCAGGUUAGCUGCUCUGCGAUGUCUCCAGAUGACAGUUGUUGGUAUGGAAAACCUGCCCCUAUAGUGGUUGGGAUAGAGUUCGAAAGGUCACGUCAGCAAAGCAAAGGUUGGUGCUGCGCCUGUGUGCACUGGUGCCAGGCAGCACUGCAGCCCCCUGGGCUGGUUCAGAAUAUUCAACAGUGGUGGGAAAUGGCAGAAGACAAAGGCCCUUACAGAGUCUGGAGGUGGGAAUGGGGCAUGCAGGGUUCUGGCCGGUCUGUCAUCCCUGGUGAUGAGCGUCUGUCUCACGCAGCUGCACCCCCAGCUCCCUUUCCCCUGGCUUCCAGUGUGAGAAGCAAGACCUUGACCCUCUGCCUGCAAUGCUACAGAAAGACCACACUUAGCUCUUCAGUUACCAAGAAUGCCCGCUCUCUCCAGGAGCAUCUAGAGGGCUUGAAGGGUCAUCAACCCCUUGCUCUCACCUCUUCCUGCCUUGGAAAAUUGCUGCAAACCUCACUAACCGAAUCUCACCAGCCCAGCCCAUGUUUUUAACACAAUUUCCUCCUGUUCUCUCUGUGUGUGCAUUUAAUCCUUGAGGUAAUAAUGUGUUGUAUUAAAAUUUUCUGAUGCACUGAAUUAAUUCUCAAGUAGAAAAGGCUGGGGACUUCAUUCUCAUUUCUGUCAUUUGUUUAAUAAAUUUAAGAAACAUUCUUUCCAUUGUUCCACUGUAUACCGUUUUGUCAGCAUGUACCUACCUGGGAGAAGACGCUCUGUUUUGAACAUUCUGUCUUGAUCCUUGGAGCAUGGCAUACCUUCUGUCCCCUGCACUGUUGGAACGCUGUUUGAUGUCUUUUCAACCCAAAACCUUGCCUAAAUACCAAUUUGUACCUGGAAUACCCUUUGUAGAACACAGCAGUCGCUCACCCAGCGGCACUUUGACAGACCGAAUCAUGGCCACCCAGGCGCCGGGAGAAGUGUACACUUGGCUUUUGUGGCCUCAUCUUCUCUCAAGGCCCUGCACCGUAUAAGGUGCUAUGGGGUGGGGCAAGCCCUUGGAGGAGAGCAAGUUCACUUUAAAGGGGGGCAGAUGUAGGUGGAACAGAGCGCAUCUGAGACAGCAGCUUACGUUGGGAGCUCACACAGCCAGCCGUCCACAGGCUGGGCUUUGCUAUUCCCAGUGGGAGUGAAACACCUGAUGCUGAUUGGCUUUGGUGGGAGGGAGUGGGGCGUAGCAUCUCCAUCAGACAAGCUCUUUGUCCCCUGGGUGGGCACCCACAAUGUGUGCUCCUCAGAUGCGCCCUGCUUUCACUUCUGCCUGUGCUUCCGUGUGGAGCCUCCGCACAGCAUGGACUCCUGUCACCCAGGAUGCUCUCUGUCUUCUCUGAUAGCCAUGAGUUUGGUGGCGAGCAUGGAAGACCAAACUCAUGUCAAAUGUUUGCAUGGUAUUAAUAUCUUGUGUUACUCUAAACUCCAGAGGCUUUCCUAAACCUUGUCCUAACGGGAAUCUUGCUGUUAACAAACCAAAAACCUGUUUGAUGUAACUGUUCUUUCCCACCGAUGGCUGAAGCUUUGUCCUUCCUACAAGAUGGUAUACUAGACUCCACGUUCCUCAGUGACACCAAGUUCACAAGUCCUCCGCCAUCUUCAAAGCAGGAUUCUCCUUUACCUUUGCCCUAGAAGUAAGAGCAGCCUUGUAUGCUCUCUGCCAUUUGACCCUAAGUGACACCCCCUCUGUCUGUCUGUCUGUCUGUCUGUCUGUCGCCUGUCUGCAAGUCCGACAUCACUGUUGCUUGUCUGAAUGGCUUGGUGAUGAAGUGUGAAGUGGAAGCUUAGCUGUUGUUGAGCUCGCCUUAAAGGAUGCUGGUUCUGAGGAACGCAUGUAACUUGCCCCCAGCCACCUAAGGUAUCAGGAAGAGGACACCAUCUCUAACACUGGUAAACUGUGACCUCACUCUUCCAUGUGGGAACCUUGCCAUUCCAGCCAGCUGUUGUCAUAGAGUCCGAUGGCCAGGGACCCACCUCUGAUUCAGUGUGGUGGGGAUUUUCUUGGGUGGUGAAUGCUCAGAAUAGAUGAUCUCAUUCGAAAUUUCAUUGUCUUCUUUCUUAGUGGGAAGUCGUGAGUUUAAAAAGAGCCCUGUGUUUCUUCUGUCUUUCCUAUGUAUGCCUCUAGAACUAACACAUUCUGAGUAUGUAGG